AUUGAACGCUGGCGGCAUGCCUAACACAUGCAAGUCGAGCGAGCGGCGGACGGGUGAGUAAUGUCUGGGAAACUGUCUGAUGGAGGGGGAUAACUACUGGAAACGGUAGCUAAUACCGCAUACCAUGAGAUGUGCCCAGAUGGGAAUGGCUGGUCGGUGGGGUAACGUAUCAGCUAGGCGACGAUCCCUAGCUGUGCUGAGAGGAUGACCAGCCACACUGGAACUGAGAAACGGUCCAGACUCCUACGGGAGGCAGAAGGGGGGAAUAUUGGACAAUGGGCGAAAGCCUGAUGCAGCCAUGCCGCGUGUGUGAAGAAGGCCUUCGGGUGGUAAAGCACUUUCAGCGGGGAGGCGUUACCCGCAGAAGAAGCACCGGCUAACUCCGUGCCAGCAGCCGCGGUAAUAC
rnacentral:rRNA from 1 species